AUACGGUGAAACUGCGAAUGGCUCAUUAAAUCAGUUAUCGUUUAUUUGAUAGUACCUUACUACAUGGGAUAACCGUGGUAAUUCUAGAGCUAAUACAUGCUAAAAACCUCGACUUCGGAAGGGGUGUAUUUAUUAGAUAAAAAACCAAUGCCCUUCGGGGCUCCUUGGUGAUUCAUAAUAACUUCUCGAAUCGCAUGGCCUUGUGCCGGCGAUGGUUCAUUCAAAUUUCUGCCCUAUCAACUUUUGAUGGUAAUUUAGUGGAUUACCAUGGUUUCUACGGGUAACGGGGGAUUAGGGUUCUAUUCCGGAGAGGGAGCCUGAGAAACGGCUACCACAUCCAAGGAAGGCAGCAGGCGCGCAAAUUACCCAAUCCCGAUACGGGGAGGUAGUGACAAUAAAUACUGAUACAGGGCUCUUUUGGGUCUUGUAAUUGGAAUGAGUACAAUUUAAAUCCCUUAACGAGGAGCAAUUGGAGGGCAAGUCUGGUGCCAGCAGCCGCGGUAAUUCCAGCUCCAAUAGCGUAUAUUAAAGUUGUUGCAGUUAAAAAGCUCGUAGUUGAAACUUGGGUCUGGCUGUCCGGUCCGCCUCACCGCGUGCACUGGUUCGGCCGGACCUUUCCUUCUGGGGAGCCGCAUGCCCUUCAUUGGGUGUGCCGGGGAACCAGGACUUUUACUUUGAAAAAAUUAGAGUGUUCAAAGCAGGCAUAUGCUCGAAUACAUUAGCAUGGAAUAAUAGAAUAGGACGUGUGGUUCUAUUUUGUUGGUUUCUAGGACCGCCGUAAUGAUUAAUAGGGAUAGUCGGGGACGUCUGUAUUCUUUAGUCAGAGGUGAAAUUCUUGGAUUUAUUGAAGACAAACUACUGCGAAAGCAUUCGUCAAGGAUGUUUUCAUUAAUCAGUGAACGAAAGUUAGGGGAUCGAAGACGAUCACCAUGUAUUUGGUCGUCUAUAGCAGACUAGUCGGAGCUUCUGCUCCGGCCACACCGACUAACUGUUGGGGCCGCCCCAGGUUUUUAAGUAAUCUGUGGCCGACCCACAGCCAAGCUCUCCGGAGCGCAGUCUACAGACUGAAUGUUGGUGGGCGAAUCGUGCCAGAUUCGUCUCUAAUAUAGCCGAGUUUCAUCGAUAACUCGAUGAAAAUCACGCAGAUACCGUCGUAGUCUUAACCGUAAACUAUGCCGACUAGAGAUCGGACGGUGUUAUUAUUUUGACCCGUUCGGCAUCUUUACGAGAAAUCAAAGUUUUUGGGUUCUGGGGGGAGUAUGGUCGCAAGGCUGAAACUUAAAGACAUUGACGGAAGGGCACCACCAGGCGUUAAACAUUGCAUACCAAGCUCUGCGCCAUCGAAGUGUCGUCUGCUUACCCAGGCGAUCCGUGACAUGUCCUAGCUGUAGUCAGCUGAAUACUUUUUAGUUCCGUUUAGUCGGGGGCUACAUACUCAUCGUGCGGGUAAAUUCCCAGACCCCGAACACCUCCGCCUGCCGAAAGGCUUGCGCAUGGUAACAGCUUCGGCAGUCACAAGGUUCCAUCCGCAGCCAGUGUUCUAAGGUCCUCAGGCUAUGACAUUUGGUUCAGAGAUUAGACGAGUAUGGGUACUAACAUCGUCGAGAAAUAUCAAAGUAUACGGUUCCACAAGUCCGAGAUGUGGUCGCAGAGAGUGCUCUUCUGUCCCGCAUCCGAGGUAGUUUAGCUCAGCCAAUAUGGAUAAAGGUGGAUCGAACUUAGCUUCGCCCGCGAGGGACCACUAGUCCCCAGCACCACGAAGAGGUGUGGAUCCAUUGCUUAGGGCGGUAGGAGCCUCCACCCGCUGCCGGGAGACACGAGCUCCUGCCCAGCAUGUUACACUUCCUACCCGGAAAGCCACUUGCGUCACCCAGCUCGUCACACUUGCUACCCGGGACGCUUCGGACGUAAAGUGGAAAAUAUAGAAUAAAUCUUUGAUUCGGCGUACUUAAGCUAUAAUCCGUCCCACAGUGUCAACUGUGAAGGAUGNAUAACGGGAGCCUGCGGCUUAAUUUGACUCAACACGGGGAACUCACCAGGUCCAGAUUUGAUAAGGAUUGACAGAUUGAGAGCUCUUUCUUGAUUUCAAAGGUGGUGGUGCAUGGCCGUUCUUAGUUGGUGGAGUGAUUUGUCUGCUUAAUUGCGAUAACGAACGAGACCUUAACCUGCUAAAUAGCCAGGUCAGCUUUGGCUGGCCGCCGGCUUCUUAGAGGGACUAUCGGCUCAAGCCGAUGGAAGUUUGAGGCAAUAACAGGUUAACCCUUCUCACAGGCCUGUUGAAGCCCGUAUCCGUUAGGGUAUGGCGGUCGUGUUUAGCACGGCUUUACAUCACUGGUAUCGAGAAUAUCCGCUUAGGAUUGAUUCGAUGGCGAGUCACAGACCGCCCAAACGCAUGCAAAGUGAUGGGCUCUCUCGGGAGAGAGUUUCAGGUACAUGCUGACCCUCCAGGCCAUGGAGUAGCUCGAUCCCCAUUUUCCGAUUGGGAUCGAUGCGCGGAUAAACGCUGUGAUGCCCUUAGAUGUUCUGGGCCGCACGCGCGCUACACUGACAGAGACAACGAGUUCAUCACCUUGGCCGGAAGGUCUGGGUAAUCUUGUUAAACUCUGUCGUGCUGGGGAUAGAGCAUUGCAAUUAUUGCUCUUCAACGAGGAAUGCCUAGUAAGCGCAAGUCAUCAGCUUGCGUUGAUUACGUCCCUGCCCUUUGUACACACCGCCCGUCGCUACUACCGAUUGAAUGGCUCAGUGAGGCCUUCGGACUGGCCCCAGGAGGACGGCAACGCCCACCCAGGGCCGGAAAGUUGGUCAAACUUGGUCAUUUAGAGGAAGUAAAAGUCGUAACAAGGUUUCCGUAGGUGAACGGUUUGCCUGCCGAAAUCUUCCGCAUCGACUAUAAAUUUAUGCGUGGUUUGCAUCCUGGAUGCGAGCAACACCGAUUAAUUGCUGAGAGGGUUCCGGGCAUUCAGUCCUUAUCCGACCGGCAGCCAGUUUCACAUCUGGUUCACAGAUCAACCAUCGGUGGCCUCUCGGCUAAAAUAUGACCGGUCCUCGGCUUUCGGCCGUGGGAUUUGCGGAACCUGCGGAAGGAUCAUUA
rnacentral:rRNA from 1 species